CAAGCACGACCAAAAUGUUAUUAUGUAUUAAGUGAUAAACUCGUGUAUGAAUCAUAAUUAGUAAGUAGAUAUAUAUAAAUAGAGUGAAAUUUUACUUUAUUUAUAAAUAUUUUUUAUUAAUUUUGUAUUUUUACAGUUAUCCUACAAUAGUAGCAAAAUUUGUUUACCUUUUUCUUCUCCAUUUGUCUUCAAUUGCACAGUUUGAUUUCCAAAAUUCUAAUGUGGAAAGAAAGUAUGUAUAUAUUUAUAUAUUUGGUGCACCAUAAUCUCAUCCAAUGACACAUACAAAAAUAUUACUUGUAUAGUAUAUCGGUUGACCAUUUAUUCCAACAAUACCAUACAAUGAAAAUUUAGGACAUAACAAUUAAUUUCUAUCUCGUAUGCAAUACCCCCGUAGAAAUUUCAUCACUACCUCUUUCUUUAUUUUCGUCUUCUCCAAUGACUAAGAUUCAUUUUCUACUUGAACAUCAUUGUUGGUAUAAUUGCUCCAUAGGAAGGAAAGAGUAUCACCAAUUGAGUGAAGAGCAUAAUCCAUUAGAAUGUAUGUUUGAAUCUUUUUUUUUUAAUAUUCGUAGAUUUAAAUGAAAGUAGAUAGACAAAUUACAUUUCUAGAAUGAUAGUGAAAGAAAACUAAGAAGAUUACAAUAAAGUUCCACUUAAUGAGUAACUGAAGUAUAUAUAAGUAUAAAAAAAUCGAGACAUUCGAAAUAAACAAGUAUAAAGUACUUACUUACUUGCCCUCUUAAAUAUGUUAACCUAAGGUUUUAAUCAUGAUUUACUUCCUAACUAAUCAUCCUUAUGCUCUAAUAAAUAUCAUAUCCUCUGGUUCCUAUGACAUGUAACUCUCUAUUUUUCAACCAUUAGCAUUUUUAAUGACCUUCGCAAAUUUUUUGAUUAAACAAAAGAGUGAUUGCGGGAAGAGGCAAUGAAAGAGAGGUGUUAGAGUUUGAAGUAGAAGAAAAUAUGAAAGAAUAAUAUAUACACACAUAUUCUUAUUUAUUUAAGAUCAAGAAAAAGGGCAUAUAAGUAAAUUCAACCCCUAACUUUUAGUUAAAAACUAAUUAAUUUGUCCGAAGAUUAAUUAAACCUUUAUGAAAUAUGGGUGGAAUGUUAGGAGUUAUAUCGUAAUGGAAGUUUAAACAUAUGCUCUCAUACUAGGUUAAAUUACGAAAUAGUUGUGUUACUAUACUAAAUUAUGAAAUAAUUUAGAAACUUAAGUUUAUAAGUUGCAAUAAUUAGGAAAUGAUUAUUUAAGCUUAAUUAUAUAGAUGCUCCAAGUAAGUGUGGGGGUUCUCAGAUUCAUCGGUUCAAGGUUGGUGUGACAUUUGGUAAAAAGCUCAACAUGAAAAAUGGCCAGUUUGGCAACCAAUGAAGCUCUCUUCUUUUCUUUUCUCCCCCACCCAUCACUUGGCAGCUAGAUCCACUCAUGGGUUUUGAAUUAUUUCAUAUACAAAACAAUCUGACCCACUCGCCUACCUCUAACAUGCUUCCCAUUCUCAAUUCUCAUCAACAAACCUUUUUGUUGGGCUGUGGUACAAAGUUUUAAAUUAACACGGAAUAUAUUUUCCACUUUUUUUUCAUGCGUCCCCAAUUGUUUACUCACCUCACAUUGCUGUUUAAAUAUGUGUGUUCUUGCAGUUCUUUUGUAGGCUCAUAAAAGCUGUUUGUUAAAAUGCCUAAAACACCAGUACUUGAGUUAGCUCUAUUCAACAGGCACGUUUGGAGAUGGGAAGAGUGAGCCAUGCUGGAGAGGCAGGGCACAUGCUAGAUUUACCAGAAAGAUGGGAUGCUCUUGGACGAUGCAGAGGCCUCCUUGACACUCAACUGAAGGGCUUCUGUCUUUGAGGAAACCUCAUCAAGUCGAUUUUGCAGGUUUGCUGCUUGUACCUAUCAGUGAAGCAUAAAAUGAGAAUCUUUUCUAAGAUCGGAACAAUCCAUUUUAAUCCAAUACUGCCUUUCUAUGUGCAUCAAUGAAAUAAGAUGGUGAUGGUGUUCCAAGUUACAAUUUUAGUUCCUUCUCAAACUGAUAAAAUCGAACUUUAAGUUUUAUUCAAGGAAUAUCGAUGUCGUUAUUGAUAUUGGGAUUUCAAUUUUAUGGAUGUAUCCUCGUAAAUAUUGAUACUCGAAAUAAAAAUUCACUUAGAUUAUUAAUUAA